CAUGGUACUUUGGAAACCUAGCACUGAAGGAAAACCCACACUUUCAUGGGGAGAACAUGCAAACUCCACACUAAAGAUGUUGCUGCCAGAACUGAACUUGGGUUACUAGAGCUGGGAGGCAGCAGCUGUGCCACUGUGUAGAGGUGAAGCACUGUUUCAGUGCCAUCACCCAACUUCCUUCAAAGCAAUGAAACAGACAGAAAUUUACUGAAUAUGGGAUCUGAGACUCCUUCUGAGUGACAUUCAGCCUGAUGUUGAGAAGCUGGUAUCACUGCACCAGGCUAUCUAUCUCACUGAAAGGUACUCUGAGCUGUUUUGCCUGUUGAUUUUUUCUACAUUGAGCAGUAUUGAAGAAUAGUAC